rnacentral:rRNA from 1 species
AGUGAACGCUGGCGGCAGGCCUAACACAUGCAAGUCGAACGGCAGCACAGUAAGAGCUUGCUCUUACGGGUGGCGAGUGGCGGACGGGUGAGGAAUACAUCGGAAUCUACUUUUUCGUGGGGGAUAACGUAGGGAAACUUACGCUAAUACCGCAUACGACCUACGGGUGAAAGCAGGGGAUCUUCGGACCUUGCGCGAUUGAAUGAGCCGAUGUCGGAUUAGCUAGUUGGCGGGGUAAAGGCCCACCAAGGCGACGAUCCGUAGCUGGUCUGAGAGGAUGAUCAGCCACACUGGAACUGAGACACGGUCCAGACUCCUACGGGAGGCAGCAGUGGGGAAUAUUGGACAAUGGGCGCAAGCCUGAUCCAGCCAUACCGCGUGUGUGAAGAAGGCCUUCGGGUUGUAAAGCCCUUUUGUUGGGAAAGAAAAGCAGCAGGUUAAUACCCCGCUGUUCUGACGGUACCCAAAGAAUAAGCACCGGCUAACUUCGUG